rnacentral:rRNA from 1 species
GAUGAACGCUGGCGGCGUGCCUAAUACAUGCAAGUCGAGCGAACAGACGAGGAGCUUGCUCCUCUGACGUUAGCGGCGGACGGGUGAGUAACACGUGGAUAACCUACCUAUAAGACUGGGAUAACUUCGGGAAACCGGAGCUAAUACCGGAUAAUAUAUUGAACCGCAUGGUUCAAUAGUGAAAGACGGUUUUGCUGUCACUUAUAGAUGGAUCCGCGCCGCAUUAGCUAGUUGGUAAGGUAACGGCUUACCAAGGCAACGAUGCGUAGCCGACCUGAGAGGGGGAUCGGCCACACUGAAACUGAGACACGGUCCAGACUCCUACGGGAGGCAGCAGUAGGGAAUCUUCCGCAAUGGGCGAAAGCCUGACGGAGCAACGCCGCGUGAGUGAUGAAGGUCUUCGGAUCGUAAAACUCUGUUAUUAGGGAAGAACAAAUGUGUAAGUAACUAUGCACGUCUUGACGGUACCUAAUCAGAAAGCCACGGCUAACUACGU